UGAGAUAUAGCCAAAUUGGUAAGGCACAGGAUUCUGGUUCCUGGAUGUUUCGGUUCGAGCCCGAAUAUCUCAAUAU
rnacentral:tRNA from 1 species